rnacentral:misc_RNA from 1 species
UCUCAACAUAAAAGCUUAAAAAAGGAUGCAAUAUCUUGAUAUCUUUACAGCUAAGUGUGUGUAUUCGCAAAGCAUGAGAAACAGUUUUAGUUAUUCAGUCUGGUUCUACUCCUUCAAAAUCAUCCAGUACUUCUUUCCAAAUUGCAGUGUCACCUUCAUAUUGGACACAAUUAUUGCUUGGGUGCCAAACUUGCUUCAGCGUCACUGCUGCGUUUUGCAUCUUCAAACUUAUCAAUGGCUACUUGAAGUUCAUCUGAGCCUCCAACAGCUCUCAUAGUGUAGUAGUACACACCAAAAACAAAUCCUGUCAAACCUCCAGCCAUAACCAGAUUCUUAGUCUUGGGAGCAAGGGCGCUGUAUCCUGGAAGUCCAGCCAUCUUCUCAGAAGGAACUAACCUAAGACUUUUGUAUUCUGCUUUUUUCUCCUGGAAAUCUUGGUGAAG